GUCACUACUGCAGCAUCUAUCCCCGCCCCCUCCACGGUCAAGGCAAAAAUGGCGACCGAGCAUUGCGAUGCCGCGAACAUGGACCCCGACAUAGAGCUGCUCAGCGACGAGGAAGUGGAACGGGAAGCAGAUGGCUACAAAGAGCAAGGCAACGCCUACUACAUCCAGAAGGAUUAUGCAGAAGCGUUCAAUUUUUACAGCAAGGCCAUCGACAUGUGUCCAAAGAACGCCAGUUACUACGGAAACCGUGCAGCCACCUUGAUGAUGCUAAGUCGAUACCGCGAGGCUCUGGAGGAUUCCCAGCGAGCAGUGCGGCUGGAUAACGCCUUCAUGAAGGGUCACCUGCGAGAGGGGAGGUGCCACUUGUCCCUCGGGAACGCCAUGGCCGCCACUCGCUGUUACCAGAGAGUUCUGGAGCUGGAGCCUGACAACAACAAAGCCCAACAGGAGCUGAAAAACGCUGAAUCUGUCUUGGAGUACGAGAAAAUGGCGGAGAUCGGGUUCGACAAGAGAGACUACCGCAUGGUGGUCUUCUGCAUGGACCGAGCCUUGGAGUCAGCAUCUGCCUGCCAUCGCUUUAAAAUACUGAAGUCUGAGUGCUUAGCCCUGCUGGGACGCUACCCAGAGGCUCAGUCUGUGGCCAGUGACAUUCUGCGGAUGGACGCCACCAAUGCAGACGCGCUUUACGUGCGCGGUCUGUGUCUGUACUAUGAGGACUGCAUUGAGAAAGCAGUCCAGUUCUUUGUUCAGGCCCUACGAAUGGCGCCGGACCACGAGAAAGCCCGGCUGGCUUGCAGAAACGCCAAGGCGCUGAAAGCAAAGAAGGAGGAAGGCAACAAGGCCUUCAAAGAGGGCGCCUUUGAUGCGGCCUAUAAUCUCUACUCUGAAGCCCUCACAAUAGACCCCAAUAACAUCAAGACCAACGCCAAGCUCUUCUGCAACCGAGCCACUGUUGGCUCCAAGCUGAAGAAAGUAGAUCAGGCCAUAGAAGACUGCACAAAGGCCAUUCACCUAGAUGGCAGCUACAUUAAGGCCUACUUACGGAGAGCACAGUGCUACUUGGACACAGAGCAGUAUGAAGAGGCGGUUCGGGACUACGAGAAGGUUUAUCAGACGGAGAAGACUAAAGAGCACAAACAGCUGCUGAAACACGCUCAGAUGGAGCUGAAGAAGAGCAAGAGAAAAGACUAUUACAAAGUGCUCGGCGUUGAUAAGAACGCCACGGAGGACGAGAUCAAGAAGGCUUACCGCAAACGGGCUCUCUUGCAUCAUCCCGACCGCCACAGUGGCGCCAGCGCAGAGGUGCAGAAGGAAGAGGAGAAGAAGUUCAAGGAGGUCGGCGAGGCCUUCAGCGUGCUGUCGGACUCCAAGAAGAAGUCUCGCUACGACAGCGGUCAGGACCUGGAGGACGACCACAUGAACAUGGGCGAUUUCGACGCCAACAACAUUUUCAAAGCAUUCUUUGGCGGACCAGGAGGUUUCAGUUUUGAAGGUCGACCGACUCAGACUGAAGGAUGGCAUAGAAUGUAGUCAAAUUUCAAAAUAAAAGACCCCUCCUUUUCCCAGUCAUCAUGCAGGUUCAUCAAUUUAAACUUCUGGACCUGGCAAUUUCUUUUUCCAGUUCGGUUAGUUGUGAGAAUUCCCCUCGCACUCCGUCACUACAUCAGGACUUCAACGCCACGCCCUCCCCCGACUCGCCAUCUGCAUUCCGCUGAGAUGCAGACUCUCGUCCACGCCAUCGACUCAAUGCAGCAAUCGACCGCACGCAGCAACUAUCUAAGGAGAACGCCGGGGGCGGGGCCACGCUGAGGCCCUUGAUGUAUAUUCACCUCACGUCGUGUGGUGCAGCUACUCUUUUUGAGGGGUGGGGUCCAGGCAGGAAGUGGGGAUGCGGCAUAGCAUAAAAGUGCAUGAAAUAUGCAAGCAGGCGCCCUCUUGUACCGCCCUCCUUCUCACCGCGGCCUCGCCAGUGUAGCCCACGUGUGUUUGAAGUCGGCAUCGGGACGAAGAGAAAACAAAAAUGGCGGCGGAGGCCGCAAACCCCGCCCCCUUUGUUGUGCGCACCCUUUUUUAUAUUUAAUGUUGCCAUCCACAGAUUGCUGCGUUGCCCAUUUGACUGGAAUGAAUUUGUGGUUUAUUUUUUUCGGGGUCACUUGUAUUUAUUGUUUUUUUUUUUUUUUUUUUUUGCGAAUGAACGAAGCCACUGACAGCUUUUUAUUGACGCAAAUAGAAUAUAUGACUUUUCCUCCACUUGGCUGCUUAUUAUAGUGUUGGCAAAAAUGGUGCCCAUUUGAAAUGUUGUCAUAUAAAUAUUUAGCAAACAAUCCAACAGUGUUCUAUAACAGGGUCCAGACAUGAUUGGGGGACUUUCGGGCAGCCUCACAUUUACGGUCAUUGUCAAUCAGGUGAAACCUUCCUGUUUUUACCAGUCGUGUCAAUAAAGUCCAGUACUCCCCUGUC